rnacentral:lncRNA from 1 species
CCUAGACUUAUAAUUAGGAACAACUUCAAAAUGACUUAGACCUAUAGAGCAAUUCAUAGAACUGUUAUAUGCAAUUUGAACAGUUGGGAAGAUCAAAUUCCAAGCAAGAUUACAUAAAUCAUCAGUACCUUUAGGUUGGAUAAAGGUACGAUAUACGAUACUUAACUAAGAGGUCUUGAGAACAAGAGGUACAACACCUAGAGUCAUAGGAAAAGUCCGGAUACUACCUAAUGAGGUGUCCUCAUUAUCAUCUAAGAUAUCAAAAUCUUCAAGUUUAGGUUCAUAGACUAGAUCCUUUAAUGGCUCAUCUAUUACAUUCUUUUGUUCUUCCAUGGUUAAGGUUCGGCUAGGACAUUUGGAAGAGAUGUGGCCAAAGUCCUUACAGCUGACGCACAGCAAGUGAGAAGAAGUCCUUGGAAUUUCAGAAAUUUUACCCUUAUUUUUCGACAGAGG